rnacentral:lncRNA from 1 species
UUCAUUUAGCAUUUCAUAUUGCAUUUCAUCAUGUCAAUCAAAAUUAGAUCGAAGAAACUUAAAAAAAAAAAAAAACGAAAAAAAGAAGAAGACGAAAAACGAAAAAUAAAAAUAAAUAAAUAAAUAAAAAUAAUAAUAAAAAAAUAAAUAAAAUAUAAUAGAAAACUUGGGCUUGGACCUCUCUCAUUUGAGCCCACAAAGCCAUGAAAAUCAAGUUAUAAAAGAGGGAGAUCAGACAGAAAAAGGAGGAGAAGCAAAAAUACUCUGAGGUUUCCUUGAAACAAAACCCUUGACAAAACCUAGAGAGAAACCUGACAGAGAACUCAGAGCAACCCCCAGGCAGCUCUGAAAAAUUCAAUCUGACUCACACACUUUC